UGACAAACAGAAGCUCAUAGGGUGAAUAGCCUGUUUUCUUGUGGGGAGUGCAAUGUACGCAGAGAAGCACAAUGGAUAAGGCCUGGACCCAGACAUGUACCAGGCAGGGCCCAUGACUUGUGGUUCCCAGCAUGAAGGAAAGACCACUUCCCACCAGCCCUACUACUUCUCUGCCCUACUUGAGUCUUCUGGAAUGAACCAGCCUCUCAGAAGCCUAGUCAUGCGUGGUCCCAGGGAACACAGUCCAGGCUGGUCUUGAACUUGUGGUGAUCCUCCUGCCUCAGCCUCCUGAGUACUGGGAUUACAGGUGUGUGCCACCAUACCCGGCUGCAAGGGAUGAAUCUUGAAGGACCACUUGGACUUCUCUCUGGCUAAGCAUUUCAGAGCCACAGCAGCUAUGGUCCUGAGGAGGGACCAGGUGUUCGAGGAAGGAAGCUGGAGGACCAACUGGACAUAAACGUUCUGUGUGUGACCUGGGAUUUCUGGGAAUGUGGG
rnacentral:lncRNA from 1 species